UUUGGCUCUGGACACUUGAGCAACUGAGUGUCUUACAUAUGCACAGAGCCCACAAGCUGCCAUGAGCUAUUUCUACAUGUAACUAGGUGACUACGCCUUGCAACCUUCCUACCUUAUAGCCUUUUAACUUCAUUAUGUGAUCAGGCAUGUUGCCAACUCUGAAGGCCAUUCCACGCAUCUGAGUGAUCUGGCAUAUCGUCCAGGUGAUUUAAGUGCCAAUCUUGAUAAAGGUCCACAUAAGGACCGAAACGUCGAUGAAAUACGGCAUCAACAGUGAACCCGAAU